rnacentral:lncRNA from 13 species
CUGCUUUCUGUCAAGUGUACGUGUACAAUUUGAUGCAUAUGUAACAGGUGUAAAAUCUACUUUAUGUAUUUCACCGAAAAUCCCUCAUUUAUUUUAAUUGUAUUUUAAGACGUAUUAGAUUACUUCCAAGAGUGAAAUAUUUGAUUGUAUUUAUUUUCUAAAUUGUGUUAAUGCUGUGAUGUCAUCAACGGGAGCCAUGCUUUUACUCCUCAGUUUGCUCAAAGCGUGAUGAGGAGGGGUUAUGUAUGCACAUGUUCACAAGAAAGGACAAGCAAAAGUUAUAUCGUCACUGAUUUAGUGUUGCAUUACAGUUUCUAGGAAUAUAUAUUAAUGUGAAUGGGGAUAAUGUUCGAGUGCAACAACUAGCUCAACUACCGUUAGUUUUGUUGCGGGAGAGUGUCUUUCAGGUGCAGACAUCGUGAGUUAAAAAAAAAAUAUAUUUUCUCACAGGUUUUCUGCACUGUCCUUUGUCUGGCAAAUAUACUUGUAUGGAGUCCAGACGGCAGCAUUGACUUUUGCCUUGUAUUUGUAUCCAUUCCAUGCAGUCAUUAAAAGAGAGACAACCGGCAGAAUUGUGUCCAGAACCUUUCUUCCACCUACACCUUUCCAGAACACAAUGCAGAAAGUUUUCUAGGCCCUCCAUUCCCAACCCUGAAGCCCCCUGUCCCCAGCAGGAAAGACCAGGAAAAAGUGUUGGCUUCAGGACUGGAGUGGCACGCUGGAACUUCCAGAGGCUUGUAGACCUGAAGCAGUGUGAUGUGGUCCAGAUCUUACACCCUAUUAGCUCAACCACAGUCCUCGCAGCUGCAGUCGUCUGCACCCUGUACCUGCUACACCGACCACGACAGGUGAUACAGAGGGAGAGAAACGCUGGGCCA